rfam:Scleropages formosus scaffold4900, whole genome shotgun sequence.
GUCAGGAUGGCCGAGURGUCUAAGGCGCUGCGCUUAGGUCGCAGUCUCCUCUGGAGGCGUGGGUUCGAAUCCCACUUCUGACA